ensembl:snoRNA SNORD101 small nucleolar RNA, C/D box 101
GUUUGGAUGAUGACUUAAACUUUAAUGUUAGUCGGAUACCCCUUCACUCGUCCUGUGAGUGAGAACUGCUGUCUGACAAAC